rnacentral:rRNA from 1 species
CCUACGGGAGGCUGCAGUGGGGAAUAUUGGACAAUGGGGGGAACCCUGAUCCAGCCAUGCCGCGUGUGUGAAGAAGGCCCUCGGGUUGUAAAGCACUUUCAGUGAGGAAGAACGCCUGGUGGUUAAUACCCAUCAGGAAAGACAUCACUCACAGAAGAAGCACCGGCUAACUCCGUGCCAGCAGCCGCGGUAAUACGGAGGGUGCGAGCGUUAAUCGGAAUUACUGGGCGUAAAGCGCGCGUAGGUGGCUUGAUAAGCCGGUUGUGAAAGCCCCGGGGUCAACCUGGGAACGGCAUCCGGAACUGUCAAGCUAGAGUGCAGGAGAGGAAGGUAGAAUUCCCGGUGUAGCGGUGAAAUGCGUAGAGAUCGGGAGGAAUACCAGUGGCGAAGGCGGCCUUCUGGACUGACACUGACACUGAGGUGCGAAAGCGUGGGUAGCAAACAGGAUUAGAUACCCGUGUAGUC